rnacentral:rRNA from 1 species
CGGGUGAGUAACGCGUAAUCAACCUGCCCUUCAGAGGGGGACAACAGUUGGAAACGACUGCUAAUACCGCAUAAGCCCACGGCUCGGCAUCGAGCAGAGGGAAAAGGAGUGAUCCGCUUUGAGAUGGCCUCGCGUCCGAUUAGCUAGUUGGUGAGGUAACGGCCCACCAAGGCAACGAUCGGUAGCCGGACUGAGAGGUUGAACGGCCACAUUGGGACUGAGACACGGCCCAG